rnacentral:rRNA from 1 species
UGCAGUCGAGCGGUAACAUUUCUAGCUUGCUAGAAGAUGACGAGCGGCGGACGGGUGAGUAACGCGUAGGAAUCUGCCUAGUAGUGGGGGACAACAUGUGGAAACGCAUGCUAAUACCGCAUACGCCCUACGGGGGAAAGGAGGGGAUCUUCGGACCUUUCGCUAUUAGAUGAGCCUGCGUGAGAUUAGCUAGUUGGUGGGGUAAAGGCCUACCAAGGCGACGAUCUCUAGCUGGUCUGAGAGGAUGAUCAGCCA